rnacentral:rRNA from 1 species
AUUGAACGCUGGCGGCAGGCCUAACACAUGCAAGUCGAGCGAGCGGCGGACGGGUGAGUAAUGGCUGGGAAACUGCCUGAUGGAGGGGGAUAACUACUGGAAACGGUAGCUAAUACCGCAUACCAUCAGAUGGGCCCAGAUGGGAUUAGCUAGUAGGUGGGGGAAUGGCUCACCUAGGCGACGAUCCCUAGCUGGUCUGAGAGGAUGACCAGCAACACUGGAACGUAGACACGGUCCAGACUCCUACGGGAGGCAGCAGUGGGGAAUAUUGCACAUUGGGCGCAAGCCUGAUGCAGCCAUGCCGCGUGUGUGAAGAAGGCCUUCGGGUUGUAAAGCACUGUCAGCGGGGAGGCGUUACUCGCAGAAGAAGCACCGGCUAACUCCGUGCCAGCAGCCGCGGUAAUUC